UACGUAGGGGGCUAGCGUUGUUCGGAAUUACUGGGCGUAAAGCGUACGUAGGCGGCUAUGUAAGUUAGAGGUGAAAGCCUCGAGCUUAACUCCAGAAUUGCCUUUAAGACUGCAUCGCUCGAAUCCGGGAGAGGUGAGUGGAAUUCCGCGUGUAGAGGUGAAAUUCGUAGAUAUUCGGAAGAACACCAGUGGCGAAGGCGGCUCACUGGACCGGUAUUGACGCUGAGGUGCGAAAGCGUGGGGAGCAAACAGG
rnacentral:rRNA from 1 species